rnacentral:rRNA from 1 species
GUCGAACGCUGGCGGCGUGCUUAACACAUGCAAGUCGAACGAAGUGGCGAACGGGUGAGUAACGCGUAAUCAACCUGCCCUUCAGGGGGGGACAACAGUUGGAAACGACUGCUAAUACCGCAUACUGAAGGAGGGGAUUGCGUCUGAUUAGCUAGUUGGAGGAGUAACGGCCCACCAAGGAGAUGAUCAGGCGGCGGUCCGAGGGGGAGAACGACCACAUUGGGACUUGAGCACGGCCCAGACUCCUACGGGAGGGAACCAGGGGGAAUCUUCCGCAAAUGGCGAAAGUCUGGCGGAGCAACGCCGCGGGAGUGAUAACGGCCUUCGGGUUGUAAAGCUCUGUUAAUCGGGACGCGGUACCGGAAUAGAAAGCCACGGCUAACUACGUGCCAGCAGCCGCGGUAAUUC